UUGGCACGAAGUUCAGACUCGUAGCAGAUAGCUCAGUAACACGUGGCCAAACUACCCUAUGGAUCCGAAUAACCUCGGGAAACUGAGGCUAAUGCGGAAUAGCGUUCAUCGCCUGGAGUGGCACGAACGCGAAACGUUACGGCGCCAUAGGAUGUGGCUGCGGCCGAUUAGGUAGACGGUGGGGUAACGGCCCACCGUGCCCAUAAUCGGUACGGGUUGUGAGAGCAAGAGCCCGGAGACGGUAUCUGAGACAAGAUACCGGGCCCUACGGGGCGCAGCAGGCGCGAAACCUUUACACUGCACGCGAGUGCGAUAAGGGGACUCCGAGUGCGAGGGCAUAUAGUCCUCGCUUUUCACGACCGUAAGGUGGUCGUAGAAUAAGUGCUGGGCAAGACCGGUGCCAGCCGCCGCGGUAAUACCGGCAGCACGAGUGAUGACCGCUAUUAUUGGGCCUAAAGCGUCCGUAGCUGGCCACGCAAGUCUAUCGGGAAAUCCGCGCGCUUAACGCGCGGGCGUCCGGUGGAAACUGCGUGGCUUGGGACCGGAAGACCAGAGGGGUACGUCCGGGGUAGGAGUGAAAUCCCGUAAUCCUGGACGGACCACCGGUGGCGAAAGCGCCUCUGGAAGACGGAUCCGACGGUGAGGGACGAAAGCUCGGGUCACGAACCGGAUUAGAUACCCGGGUAGUCCGAGCUGUAAA
rnacentral:rRNA from 1 species